CACCUACUCUCUCCGUUCGAAAUUACCUGUCUCGGAUAUGAAUGUAUCUAGAACUAAAAUACAUCUAGAUACAUCCAUUUCUGCGACAAGUAAUUCCGAAUGGAGGGAAUAGAUC
rfam:Triticum urartu cultivar G1812 contig1124330, whole genome shotgun sequence.